CUACGGGUUGCUGCAGUGGGGAAUAUUGGACAAUGGGGGAAACCCUGAUCCAGCAAUGCCGCGUGUGUGAAGAAGGCCUGCGGGUUGUAAAGCACUUUCGGUUGGGAGGACUGCUUCUAGCACUAAUAUUGUUGGAAGUUGACGUUACCUUCAGAAGAAGCACCGGCUAACUCCGUGCCAGCAGCCGCGGUAAUACGGAGGGGGCAAGCGUUAAUCGGAAUUACUGGGCGUAAAGCGCGCGUAGGCGGCUAGAUCAGUCGGGUGUGAAAGCCCCGGGCUUAACCUGGGAACUGCAUCCGAUACUGUCUAGCUUGAGUACAGGAGAGGAGAGUGGAAUUCCACAUGUAGCGGUGAAAUGCGUAGAGAUGUGGAGGAACACCAAUGGCGAAGGCAGCUCUCUGGCCUGAUACUGACGCUGAGGUGCGAAAGCGUGGGGAGCAAACAGGAUUAGAUACCCUUGUAGUC
rnacentral:rRNA from 1 species